UGCGCAGGCGGUUGUGCAAGACAGAUGUGAAAUCCCCGGGCUUAACCUGGGAAUUGCAUUUGUGACUGCACAGCUAGAGUGUGUCAGAGGGGGUAGAAUUCCACGUGUAGCAGUGAAAUGCGUAGAGAUGUGGAGGAAUACCGAUGGCGAAGGCAGCCCCCUCGGGAUAACACUGACGCUCAUGCACGAAAGCGUGGGGAGCAAACA
rnacentral:rRNA from 1 species